rnacentral:rRNA from 1 species
AUUGAACGCUGGCGGCAGGCCUAACACAUGCAAGUCGAGCGAGCGGCGGACGGGUGAGGAAUGUAUGGGGACUGCCCGAUAGAGGGGGAUAACAAUCGGAAACGGUAUCUAAUAUCGCACACUAUCGGAUAACCCAUAUGUGAUUAUCUAGUAGGUGAGGUAAUGGCUCACCCAGGCGACGAUCCCUAGCUGGUCUGAGAGGAUGAUCAGCCACACUGGGACUGAGACACGGCCCAGACUCCUACGGAGGCAGCAGUGGGGAAUAUUGCACAAUGGGCGCAAGCCUGAUGCAGCCAUGCCGCGUGUAUGAAGAAGGCCCUAGGGUUGUAAAGUACUUUCAGUCGGGAGGCGUUACCGACAGAAGAAGCACCGGCUAACUCCGUGCCAGCAGCCGCGGUAAUUC